AGGACAUUUCCGCCCUUUCCAGCCAGAGAGUGGUGGAGGGGGCAUCCACAUGGCUGGCUGGUACCUUCUUACUCUGGGGGGUCUCCUCAUGAUCAGUUGCAUAACAGCCACGGCGGUCCUUGCACUCUGGGGAGUUACCCUCCUAUUCCCAGGGGAUGAGCAAUCUCUUUAAGGUCUUUCCUCCUGGGCUGGGAGCCACACAAGUGUGCCAUGGAAUGUGGAGCUCCUCCCUGGGCAGAGUGCCUGAGAAGUAAGGGGAGGAUGACACCUCCCCCUGCAGUGACUCUUUAAGAGAAAAGGGUAAAAGGAGAAAAUCCAGAGGCAUGGUCUUGCUAUGUUACCGAAGCUGGUCUUGAACUCCUGGACUGAAACAAUCCACGUGCCUCGGCCUCCCAGAGCACUGGGAUUAUAGCUCCUCUCUCGAUCGGAAGAUUUUUACAGCCACCCUACUGAUCAUUAGGGAUUUGUAAACUAUUACCCAGGAAGAAGGCCCAUGGAGCUAAGGCCUCAGAACACCGAAGUCUGGACUGUCUGAGGGCACAUGCUAAUAACAGGAGGCUGGCAAAGUGGCCAGCUCCCGUGCCUUUGCAUGCAUUUGUCUUUACCUCCUGCUGCCUGGGAAAAUCCCUCCAGGAGCAAUCGAGUCAACAGCACCACAGACACUGCUAUUCCGUUGAGAAAAGUUUUAUAUGGAAACACAUACUGAUCAUGAACAUGAUAAACAGGGAGGGAAGCUUGGGCUCAGCCAGGAAAGCUGCCACAAGGAAGACGUUUGGAACUAUCCAGGAGUAGUGUCAAACACUAACACCAUAUUUACAAGUUUAAUUUGGAACCUGGCCCUUUUUAAGUGCAGGAGGAAGUUGGAGGAGAAGCCGUGCAUGAAGUAAAAAAUAUAUAUACACAGACAUAAACACCCACAUUUUCACACUUCUUUUGCCCAUUUUCUCCACAAGGAACAAAUGAGGGAAAGAAGCCCAGCCUCUCUCCCUGGAGUCCGUAUACUUACUACAGAUUCGUUAGAGAAGCCCCAGGUGGGGCUUGGAUUCAAGGAGCAGACUUCACUCUUACUGGCCCCAUUCACGUGACAAUUCACCAAGGGAAUGCUUGGGACACAAGCAUGAAUGUCCAGAAGAGGCAAGAAAAUAUAUGGCUCACUUAACUUACACAUUACACAUAAGAGGCCUCAGUUUCUCCAAGUACUUUCACAUUCGAUCCUUAGCAGACUUCUAACCUGCAGUGACAGAGCUCAGCCAAGCUGUGAGACACAGAGGAAAGCAGCAUUUUGAUCCAGUGUGCACUGGGUCAGUCACUUCAUCCAAGACAGUCACACAUGCCAGCCCCAAGUAAGUCCCUGGGGGCUUGCAGCUGUUUUCUUCGUGGAGUGGAAAUUUGGGUUUUUUCCUUCAGUGGAUUUCUCCCUGCUGCUGUCACUGAGCUCCACGCUGCUCCCUCUGGACCCAAGACAGUUGCUCGGCGUGUGUGUGUGUGUGUGUGUGUGUGUGUGUGUGUGUAAUUUACUGUUCUGCUGCUGCUGGCUUGUCCCCGGCUGCUGGCUCGUCCUCAGCCACUGGCUUCUCAACCUGUGACUCUGGAGGAAUCAGAUACUGGACCUCCUCUGUGCUGAUGGCUACUUUAUCUGGCUGGAGCCACCUCUUGAAAUGUUCCAAGGUGCUAUGAAAGGGCAGAAUAAAAGGGUGGCUGUGUCAGACCUCACUGAUUAAUUACUUAAUGAUUAUCUCAGUUACUCAAACACUACUUUCCCGCCCACCAGCAAUUUCUUCCUACAAUUGUUUUUCACUGCUAACCUGGGGAGUACAAGGAUACUCCUAUGGCAGCUGUGCAUCCUGGCAGCUCUGCACAUAAUUUACCCCAUAGUGGGCACUUUGGCUACAGGCAGCAGCAGGCCCCCUUCAAAUGCAGAGCCUCUGAAGGCUUGAUGAGAACCGCUGAAGAGUUUACGCCUCAUUCCUAAAGACCUAAAGAUAGGUCUUUUUUCACUCAAAACAGGAGAGGAGAGAAAUUGUCAAGGGAAAGAAACACUCAAAUAAAUACCAAAUUAUUACU